ACUUCAGAGGAACUGUGCAGAGUGAUUUCCUGUUGUUUUGAUACCUCACUAGAAGACUAGAAUAACUAGCUGUUGCUACAGAACGAAAUGACCAAUUCACAGUUAGUCGGUCUUGUUCUCCACACACCAAGUUCACGUGUUUUCUAUAUGCACAAGAUAGUUUGACUAUAUAAGGCUUCUGAACUCCGUGUGUCAUCGAGCUCUCGGCCUUCCACCUCAGAGUGUAGGGCUGACCAGCUACAUUAUUGCAAUUCUUAUUAAAAAGGUUGAUUGUUUGAAGAAAAGUCUCUCCUGAUUGGUUAGAAUUUCCACCACAAUGUGCAGUAACAAUGUUAGACCAGACUCAUAAUACAGAAUGAAUGACUGACUGCCCAGUUCAACGUUAGUUCACCUUCUCACCUCAUACUGUAUUGGAGCAGCAGCAGCUGACUUGAUCGUUGAUGCUAAUCAGCAUAUUUGAAUCUGAGAGUAAAUAGAGCCGACUACACUCUAAAAAUGAAGGGUUCAACUGGAGUUGUUCUCAGAUCCCCUAAGAACCGUAGGGUUCUUGUCAAUGAAAAACAACCCCAAAAGGUUCUUCAAAUGACUUGUUAGAAGGUGGGAUCAUCGAGGAACCUCCGUUGUUGCUGGACUUCUUUCGGAAACUUCACAAUUACAACUGAAAACGCUGGUGGCAAGUUUGGAUGCAACAACAAUUAAAAAGGACAGAACAUGGACACAAUGCAAUUGGGAUCAAGAAGAUGUUCUCAGAAAUGAAUCAAGUCCAUGGAAUGGAUAUAGACAAAAAGAGAAUUCAAGGACUAGCAGAGGUAGAGAGGCGAGGCGGGGGUGAGGACAUCAUCCUGCUAUUUUGACAGUCCCUGAAGGACAAUACAGAAGAGAUUUCGCCGCUCUUCACUCCUUUACUGCACAUCGGCGGAAAUCCAUUUCACCAUGGGAGUGAAAUCCCGCUGACCUUUGAUGGGGAGAACAUCCACGCUCUUGAGGACGUCCUCAUGGGACUUGGGGCUCUGCUAGGGCUGUAUAAUUUAUUUUCCCUUCAAUUUCCCCAAAAUGUCAGAAAAACACUUGUGUUGUUUUAAGUUACUGUGUUCUGGGGAUAAGAGAAGUUGGGGUGAAGUUACCAGGGCCGGUCAUAAUGAUGGCAAACUUCCUAACAUAACUAAGUGGAUAGGAUAUACACACUAAAGCUGAAAAAUCUGUAUUUAGCAUCAAAUCUACAAUAUUGUUAGUUUACCUAUGAAUCAUUUUGAAUGUAUGUUUUUAUUGGACAUCAUUUUUUUAUUUGUUGUAAAUGUCAUGAAAAGCACUAUACAAAGUAAAUGUAGUAUUUAUUAUGGUCUGACAUGUCUGCAGAAAUGUUGCAAUUUUGUAAUGUGUUUUGUAAAUAUUAAUUCACAUUUGUGGU